ACAAGAGCAGGGAUCUCUAAUGAGACCAUAUGUAAUCUUCAAAAAAUGCAUCCCAAGCCACAGCGAAGGAGUACAGUAAGUUUGAGCACAGCUAAGAAAAAUUCCCGCUACUUCAGCAUCUAGUGCAGGUGUCUGGGACAAAGCCCCACAGGAUUAGACUGGAAUCCUCAUGUUCAGAUAAAGUUGGACUGAAUCUCGCCGCAGCAGAGACUCAGAGCAAUAACGUAUUGGCACACAGCACUCACCAUCUGCAUUCAGUAGCCAUGAAUAUUUAAAUUCCAAUGUUCCUGGUAUGGUUCGGAUUAGGAUGUCAUGUAUCGAUGCAUUCCUAAAUCUUGCGUGCAGCAGGCAGAAAGCAGUAACAUUACAGGAACGGGCGGGCUGUGCGGUGCUGGGGAUCACAAAACGACACCGAGGGGUACGGAGCUAGAGGGGUUUUCAGGGUUGCGGUCUGAAGCCGCCUUAAAUCUAGGGGCACCUGGGGAAACACUUAGAAAGCCUGUCUGAUGGUUUGGCAGAUCAAGCCCACAUGGCUGGAAGGUGCUCCCUGAUCUCACGAGCAGAUUAUUAAUGUGCUUGCUCCACGGAUGGCUCGCGGGGACGCCCCGGCACAGGCACGUAUCCAGCUGCAGAGGGGGUGUAGGUUGGAACCGGGCUCCGUAUCCCUACCUCUGAUUACUGGAAGGGGUUCAGGAAAAGACGGACGGCAUCUGCACCGUCCCAAAAGUUAGCAGAUGUGUAGGACAUCCGAGUCUUUCGGGGAGAAAAAUAAUGAGCUGAAGCCCUGGUGAUGGCAGUCGAGGUCCUAACAGGGAGGGUUAAGGGAGAGAUUAAUUUGUACCACGGAAGUCGGGGAUGUGCCAGUAGGAAGCAGGGAAAGCAGCAGAAGCAGCCACCCGCAACGCCUGAGCAGUCACAGCAACUAUUGCCUCUCAUCUGUCGAGGACUGGAGCUUUCUGAAAUCACACCUGUCUCCGGGAAUGUGACAUUUUAUACGUGUAAAAAUACAGAUUUGCACAAGAAUGGCAGCGUGCAGCUUAUUUUUCCUAGAGGAGGCUUAACGCAAAGUUUGGUGAAGCCUUCCAGGAUCCCUGGAAGAACAGCUCAUUCUUAGACCAGAGGGGUGCCCAAAUGCUCUCUCUGAACAGGCUGCUCCACCUGAGCCAUCCCAGAAAAAAA